AAACUGCGAUAAGUAGCGUGAAUUGCAGACGCUUUGAACGUUAAACUUUCGAACGCACAUUGCGCCGUAGGAGUCCUACCCUGCGGCACAUCUGGUUGAGGGUCGUGAUCAAAAACAGCAGGACUAUGGCUGCAAUAGAAAUAGCUGGUGAAUCACGAGUUCGGCCUACCGCCUCUGGUUGAACGUGUUUUGCCAUAAUGCUAGAAGAGGACAAUCACGAGAGAUUGCCUACCACACGGAUGAUCUAUUAGCUGAAGCAAUAGGUCUCGGUCACCGGGUAUCAUGCUAACUAUAUACUCUGUGGCGUCUGAGAUACAGCUAAUGGGCUUCAUACGUGCCUGGUAUUGAGAGUAUUCGCUCUCCCGACCUCAACUCAGGUGUGAUUACCCGCUGAACUUAAGC
rnacentral:misc_RNA from 1 species